UAAUAAAUAUACCGCAAUUAAAAAUAAGUUUACUUACAUGAUGAAUCACAUAAUAUUUAAUUUAAAAAAUAAAUUUUAUUUUAAAGAUUAUACAUAUCAGUAUUUAUAUAAAGAAGACUCUUUUGCUAAUGACGCAUUAAAUAAAAAAUUAGAUAUGGAAUUACUUGGUUCUUUGGCAAAUGUAACACAGACUAUAUACAUAGACGAAAUAAAAGAAAAAAAAGUAACUAUGCAUAAAUUAUAUGGUGGAUGGUUUCAUUAUUUAGGUAUCAUGGUUAUUCAUGGAUAUCUAUAUAAACCCUUAAAUAAAAAUACAUCUGAAAUAAAUAAAAACUUAGUUAUACCAUUAUCAGAAGUUGAAGAAUUCAAAAAAAAAAUAACAGAAAAAAGACAUAAUGCUUAUUAUAAUGAUUAUACUUUAGGUUUAUGGAGAGAUUAUCCAAAUAAUAAAUUUAUCCCAUGGAGGUUUUCUUUAGAGCUAUUUUUGUGGGAUAUUAUAGAUAUAAUGCCUCAUGAAUUACCCCACCCAUCUGAUUUAAUUAUUAAAUAUAGACGUGGUUAUGAAGUUCUUAUGAAUAAUGAAAAUGAUAACAAUUCUGUUGGAAGUAUAGGAGAAAAACAAACAUAUAACGAAUCGAAUAUAAUAACUUUUAAUAAAUACGAAAUAAAUAAUUGGUACGAAACAUUAAAAAAAAAAAUAACAUCUUAUCCUGGUUUUGAAGUAACUGUAGUGUCAGUACAUGAUUAUUUGGAAAAAUCUAUUGGUAAUGACAUUACUAAAAACAUAAAAGUAAAUCCUAACAAAACAGACAAAACUAAUGACUAUAUUGUUUUGAUUUUAUUAAACAAAAACUUUUUCGUAAAAGAAAUUGUAGAAAGUCCAAAAUAUAACGAUGCGAAAAUUGGAUAUUUUACAAGUAAAAUGAAUGAAAUAUUAAAGAUUUUGAAUAAAUUAUUAGAAGAGAUUAAUAAGUUGAUUAAUCAUGGAGAUUAUGAUGAUAUUUUUGAUGACGGCACACCUUCUACUAAUGGUAUUACUAUUACUAAUGGUCUUACUACUACUAAUGGUGUUACUACUACUAAUGGUGUUACUACUACUAAUGGUGUUACUACUACUAAUGGUGUUACUACUACUAAUGGUGUUACUACUACUAAUGGUGUUACUACUACUAAUGCCACCACUUCUACCGAUGGCACCACUUCUACCGAUGACACCACUUCUACCGAUGGCACCACUUCUGCUGAUAAUACCGAACAAACCAACAACAGUUCUAACAACUCAGACAAAAAACCAUUUGCCACCUUUUAUAACUAUUUACUAAACAAAAACAAUUACGAAAACAUUAACCCACACAUCGUAUCAGAACUAGCAGGUAUAACAAAACACAUAAAAUGUAACAAUUUGAUGGUAGAUAAUUUCAAAUGCACAUAUGAUGUGUCAUUACAUCAUAAAUACGGUGGUUGGUUUGAAUAUGGUGGAGCAAUAUUUAUAGAAAAUGUAAUUCCAAUUUAUAACCUAACAUAUGAAAAACAUGGAAAUAUUAUUAACAAAGAAUACGAAAAUAGUAUUUUGUAUGAAGCUAAUGGUAAAUCUAGAAAUAUAGGAUUAUGGAAAGACUUACCAAAUAAAAAUAUGUCAUUAUAUAGAUAUCCUCUUGAUGUAUUUGCUCUUGAGUUUAAUCAUUAUUCUAUAGCUAACAUUAACAGUCUACAUCCUUACAUAUUAAUGGACAUUUUAAAUAAAGGAAUUCGUCUUUAUAAGCCUUACAUUGUACAUAUUAACAAUACUAACACCAGUUCUUCCGGUAAUAAAAAUAAUACCAAUGACAACAAUUCUCAGAACAAACGUAUAAAUGAAAAUGAAACAAAACAUAAUUUUUUUAAUUCAUCAAACAGAUUUGUAUACCCGAUUAGAGAGUUGCAUAAUAUAAGAAAAAAAAACAUGGAAAAGUGUAGUAGUAAUAGUAGUAGUGUAGGGGGGGGGUCAACAUGUUCUACUACAUCGACUCAAACAAAUGCACCAACACAUUCUGAAGAUGAAAAUUAUACAGAAAUAACAAAAGGAGAAGAUGUAAUAACUCAUAAUAAUCACAUUGAACAAUUUGAACGUGUUAAAAAAGGUACACAAACAAUAGAAAUAACAAAAAAAAACGCUAAUGGAAUCAAAGAUUUAACUAAAUUAACAUUAAUAAAUGACAAUACGGAUGAUAGAAAUCAAUAUAUAAGUGAAAAUGUUAAUGUAGGUGAUAAUAGUGAAGAUGAAAAAAAUGAUUAUGCAAAUGAUUAUCCAGAUACAAAGUAUGACGAAAAUAAGUACAUAGAUAAAAAUAUAACAAGUAGUGCAAAAAAUAAUAAAAUAACUUCAUUCAAAGAUGAACAAAAAACAGAUAACGCAGAAAUAAAAACAAAUAACAAAGAUAGUAGUUACUUUUUAUUCAGCACAUUAGGACUAGAUAAUAAAGAGUAUGAAGACAUAGAAGAAGAUAAACAAAAUGGAAAUCAACAGGGACUAGAAUCGAAUGUAGUAGACACUAAUAAUGAUAACACAAGUGAAAUUAUAAGUGAUAAUAACGUAUUAAACCAAAUGAGCGCAUAUAUUUUAAAUAAUAAAAUCUUUUAUCUUGUUCUUAUUACCUGUAUNNNNNNNNNNNNNNNNNNNNNNNNNNNNNNNNNNNNNNNNNNNNNNNNNNNNNNNNNNNNNNNNNNNNNNNNNNNNNNNNNNNNNNNNNNNNNNNNNNNNUACUUAUAUUUAUAGGAAUAAAAUUAUAUUACACUGUUAAAGGUAAAUUAGG
rnacentral:lncRNA from 1 species